GAUGAACGCUGGCGGCGGGCCUAACACAUGCAAGUCGAACGGAAAAGCGCUGCUUUUUCGUGGUUCCCGAGUGGCGCACGGGUGUGUAACACGGGAGUAUCCCGGCCUUGACGUGGGGAUAUCUGCAGGAAACCGCGGCUAAUACCGGAUAGGAGCGCCUGCAGCAGGGGGGUGGUUGGAAAGCUUCGGAGGGUGGGGAUGUACUCGCGGUUUAUCAGCUUGUUGGUGGAGGAGUGGCUUAGCCGGGCAUCGACGGGUGGCCGGCCUGAGAGGGUGACCAGGGACAUUGGGACUAAGGUACGGCGCAGAGUGCUACGGGAGGCAGCGGGGGGGAGUAUUGCACAGUGGGCGGGAGCCUGAUGCAGAGGCCCCGCGUGCGGGAAGACGGCCUUCGGGUUGUGAACCGCAGUCGCCUGAGACGUAGCGGGAGUGACGGUAAUGAGUAAAGAAGCACCGGCUAACUACGUG
rnacentral:rRNA from 1 species